GAAUUUUCCGCAAUGGGCGAAAGCCUGACGGAGUGACGCCGCGUGGGGGACGAAGGCCUUCGGGUCGUAAACCCCUGUCAGAGGGAAAGAAGGGUGUCGGCGCGAUAACCGCCGGCACCUGACGGUACCUUCAGAGGAAGCCCCGGCCCACUCCGUGCCAGCCGCCGCGGGAAGACAGAGGGGGCAAGCGUUGAUCGGAAUCACUGGGCGUAAAGGGCGCGUAGGCGGGAGGGCAAGUCAGUCGUGAAAUCCUUCGGCUCAACCGAAGAACGUCGGCUGAUACUGCCUUUCUUGAGGGAUGCAGAGGAGACUGGAAUUCCCGGUGUAGCGGUGAAAUGUGUAGAGAUCGGGAGGAACACCGGUGGCGAAGGCGGGUCUCUGGGCAUCUCCUGACGCUGAGGCGCGAAAGCGUGGGGAGCAAACGGG
rnacentral:rRNA from 1 species